rnacentral:tRNA from 1 species
AAGGAUAUGGCUCAAUGGUAGAGUGUGUGCUUAGCAUGCAGGAAGUCUUGAGUUCAAUCCCCAGUACCUUCA